UAAGCUGAAACAUUCACCCUCAAAUUAACCUUUGUAUCUUACUGUGAUCUAUCCACCUUCCAUCUUAACCACAGACAUUAUUAGUAUGGAAUACUAUUCCUACACACUUCCCUGCAAACACUUUUGAAUCCACGUGCUACAAAACACAAUCUUCUAAAGCCUGAUCUGGAGGUUUCAGUUUCAGAGGGAGAACUUCCAUCGCCUGAUGGCCAGGAGUGAGAAGAAUUCUUAAUUGUUUCAGCUUUGUUAAUAAUUUUUGUAUGCUGAUUGCUUCAAUGCACCAGUACCAGCCAACACAGGAAGAUCCGAAACGCAGGAAUCGUGAGUUCCACUAGGUACAUCAGGCUACUCAUGACUUUGAACUAUUCAAGGGUGCAGUCAGGUGGCAGCUUUACAGUGCAGUAGCCUUCUCAGGAGCCCCAAGGCAUGGACAGUCUUCAGUGAAAUGGAUUGUUUCCUGCCUGGAAAUCUCAUGCAGCUAUUACAGAGAGGAGACAAGAUGCUCCAGUGAGCUUAUAAAUGAAAAAUUCUCAUUCAAAGAAACUUGUGUUACCUUUUGGAGAAAAAAAGCCAAGCAGAAAACACCAACCUCUCCUGAAACUUGGAUGGUUCUUUCCAACAACCUUUUGAAUAUUUUCCAAUCUCUCAUUUUGUACCUCCUUGGAUGCAUGAAGAUAUAAUUAAUGAAACCAUGUCACCAGGAGCCUACUAUUAAAUCAUUUCACUGAGUUUUCUCUCCA
rnacentral:lncRNA from 1 species